rnacentral:piRNA from 1 species
UGUAUAUGAUGACAACUGGCUCCCUCUA